GACGAACGCUGGCGGCGUGCCUAAUACAUGCAAGUUGAGCGAUGAAGAUUGGUGCUUGCACCAAUUUGAAGAGCAGCGAACGGGUGAGUAACGCGUGGGGAAUCUGCCUUUGAGCGGGGGACAACAUUUGGAAACGAAUGCUAAUACCGCAUAACAACUUUAAACAUAAGUUUUAAGUUUGAAAGAUGCAAUUGCAUCACUCAAAGAUGAUCCCGCGUUGUAUUAGCUAGUUGGUGAGGUAAAGGCUCACCAAGGCGAUGAUACAUAGCCGACCUGAGAGGGUGGUCGGCCACAUUGGGACUGAGACACGGCCCAAACUCCUACGGGAGGCAGCAGUAGGGAAUCUUCGGCAAUGGACGAAAGUCUGACCGAGCAACGCCGCGUGAGUGAAGAAGGUUUUCGGAUCGUAAAACUCUGUUGGUAGAGAAGAACGAUGGUGGGAGUGGAAAGCUCAUCAAGUGACGGUAACUACCCAGAAAGGGACGGCUAACUACGUG
rnacentral:rRNA from 1 species